rnacentral:rRNA from 1 species
GACGAACGCUGGCGGCGUGCCUAAUACAUGCAAGUAGAACGCUGAAGGAGGAGCUUGCUCUUCUGGAUGAGUUGCGAACGGGUGAGUAACGCGUAGGUAACCUGCCUGGUAGCGGGGGAUAACUAUUGGAAACGAUAGCUAAUACCGCAUAACAGUAGAUGUUGCAUGACAUUUGCUUAAAAGGUGCAAUUGCACCACUACCAGAUGGACCUGCGUUGUAUUAGCUAGUUGGUGGGGUAACGGCUCACCAAGGCGACGAUACAUAGCCGACCUGAGAGGGGGAUCGGCCACACUGGGACUGAGACACGGCCCAGACUCCUACGGGAGGCAGCAGUAGGGAAUCUUCGGCAAUGGACGGAAGUCUGACCGAGCAACGCCGCGUGAGUGAUGAAGGUUUUCGGAUCGUAAAGCUCUGUUGUAAGAGAAGAACGAGUGUGAGAGUGGAAAGUUCACACUGUGACGGUAUCUUACCAGAAAGGGACGGCUAACUACGUG